GUAGGUGGCAAGCGUUGUCCGGAAUUAUUGGGCGUAAAGCGCGCGCAGGCGGUUCUUUAAGUCUGAUGUGAAAGCCCACGGCUCAACCGUGGAGGGUCAUUGGAAACUGGAGAACUUGAGUACAGAAGAGGAAAGCGGAAUUCCACGUGUAGCGGUGAAAUGCGUAGAGAUGUGGAGGAACACCAGUGGCGAAGGCGGCUUUCUGGUCUGUAACUGACGCUGAGGCGCGAAAGCGUGGGGGAGCAAACAGGAUUAGAUACCCUGGUAGUCCACGCCGUAAACGAUGAGUGCUAAGUGUUAGGGGGUUUUCCGCCCCUUAGUGCUGCAGCUAACGCAUCAAGCACUCCCGCCCUGGGGAGUACGGCCGCAAGGCUG
rnacentral:rRNA from 1 species